CCUACGGGUGGCAGCAGUGGGGAAUAUUGGACAAUGGGGGAAACGCUGAUGCAGCAAAGCCGCGUGAGUGAAGAAGGAUCUAGGGAUGGAAAGCUCUAUCAGCAGGGAAGAAGAUGACGGUACCUGAUUAAGAAGCACCGGCUAACUACGUGCCAGCAGCCGCGGUAAUACGCAGGGGGCAAGCGUAAUCCGGAUGUAAUGGGUGUAAAGGGAGUGUAGACGGUAGUGCAAGUCUGGAGGGAAAGCCCGGGGCCUAACCCCGGAACUGCUGUGGAAACUGUGCGGCUAGAGUGCUGGAGGGGCAGGCGGAAUGCGUGGUGUAGCGGUGAAAUGCGUAGAUAUUAGGAAGAACACC
rnacentral:rRNA from 1 species